rnacentral:rRNA from 1 species
GUCGAGCGAACGGACAGAAGCUUGCUUCUCUGAUGUAGCGGCGGACGGGUAGUAACACGUGAUAACCUACCUAUAAGACUGGGAUAACUUCGGGAAACCGGAGCUAAUACCGGAUAAUAUUUUGAACCGCAUGGUUCAAAAGUGAAAGACGGUCUUGCUGUCACUUAUAGAUGGAUCCGCGCUGCAUUAGCUAGUUGGUAAGGUAACGGCUUACCAAGGCAACGAUGCAUAGCCGACCUGAGAGGGUGAUCGGCCACACUGGAACUGAGACACGGUCCAGACUCCUACGGGAGGCAGCAGUAGGGAAUCUUCCGCAAUGGGCGAAAGCCUGACGGAGCAACGCCGCGUGAGUGAUGAAGGUCUUCGGAUCGUAAAACUCUGUUAUUAGGGAAGAACAUAUGUGU